UAGGGAAUCUUCGGCAAUGGGGGCAACCCUGACCGAGCAACGCCGCGUGAGUGAAGAAGAUUUUCGGAUCGUAAAGCUCUGUUGUAAGAGAAGAACGUGUGUGAGAGUGGAAAGUUCACACAGUGACGGUAACUUACCAGAAAGGGACGGCUAACUACGUGCCGG
rnacentral:rRNA from 1 species